rnacentral:rRNA from 1 species
UACGUAGGGUGCGAGCGUUAAUCGGAAUUACUGGGCGUAAAGCGUGCGCAGGCGGUGAUGUAAGACAGAUGUGAAAUCCCCGGGCUCAACCUGGGAACUGCAUUUGUGACUGCAUCGCUGGAGUGCGGCAGAGGGGGAUGGAAUUCCGCGUGUAGCAGUGAAAUGCGUAGAUAUCCGGAGGAACACCGGUGGCGAAGGCGGCAUCCUGGACCGAGAUUGACGCUGAUGCGCGAAAGCCAGGGGAGCAAACGGGG